rnacentral:tRNA from 1 species
GAGGGUAUAGCUCAGUGGCAGAGUGUGUGCUUAGCAUGCAUGAAGUCCUGGGUUCAAUCCCCAGUAACUCUG